rnacentral:rRNA from 1 species
GACGAACGCUGGCGGCGUGCUUAACACAUGCAAGUCGAACGGAAAGGCCCUGCUUUUGUGGGGUGCUCGAGUGGCGAACGGGUGAGUAACACGUGAGUAACCUGCCCUUGACUUUGGGAUAACUUCAGGAAACUGGGGCUAAUACCGGAUAGGAGCUCCUGCUGCAUGGUGGGGGUUGGAAAGUUUCGGCGGUUGGGGAUGGACUCGCGGCUUAUCAGCUUGUUGGUGGGGUAGUGGCUUACCAAGGCUUUGACGGGUAGCCGGCCUGAGAGGGUGACCGGCCACAAUGGGACUGAGAUACGGCCCAGACGCCUACGGUGGGCAGCAGUGGGGAAUAUUGCACAAUGGGCGGAAGCCUAAUGCAGCAACGCCGCGUGCGGGAUGACGGCCUUCGGGUUGUAAACCGCUUUCGCCUGUGACGAAGCGUGAGUGACGGUAAUGGGUAAAGAAGCACCGGCUAACUACGUG